GUGUGCCUGGGCAGAGGGCUUGAAUGGGACAGCUGUUAAAAGCCCGACGUUGGGCAUCCCAUAAUGCACAGAAUGCUAUGAAUUCUGCAUCCUCACUACUGGUGAUUAUCAGAAGGUGGGGAAUCUGUUUGCUCUGCGCUGCUGGAAAAGGUAAAGGGAGAAAGCCAGCCCUUCCCAAAGCCUGUGCUGCAGGUGGGAAGGUGAGCUUCCCAGAGCUCAGCGCUUCAGGUGGGUGCAGUAACGUUGGCUCAGCAGUGCAGCAGCACUCCUCUAUCAGCAAAGCUUCCUUACGUUAUGCACAGUGUAAUGAAUCCAUACUGCAGUCUGGGAUGACUUCCUAGUGCUAAAGAACUGCAGUCGUUGGGUUUGCUGUUGUCUUUUAAAUGCCUUCUCGUUAUUAUGGACCUGUGUCUAAGAGGAAGAGUGUAACUCCUUGUUCCCAGAGGGAGGAUUCUGGAGUCACAGCACGCUGUUGAUCAUGGCAGCCUGCACGCAGGAUCCGAGUUAAACUGCAGCCCUUCCACAGAUGGAAACUCGCUGUGAGAUCCUCUCUGUGUUGCUUGGAUCCACCGUGUUAAAAGAUGACAGAGGGAUGGGAGAGCUUCAGGUGCAUGUUAGGAUUGUGCACACCUCUGCAGUGAGCCCCAGAGAUGCGUGCUUAUGGUUCUGGCAUUCUGUGCAAAGCCAAGAGGAGCUCCUUCCGCACAGCUUAGCAGCUGCUGGCUUUUGCAGCACAGGGAACCCAACUUCUGCUGAUCUGAGAUUGUCCUCUUUCAAACGUGGCUUCAUUCAAACAAAUCCUUGAGCUGCAUCCAGAUGCACGUAAAGAAAACCACAGGCAGAGCCUGAAGUUAACCCUUGGUUAGUCUUCAUUCCGUGAAACAGAGGUAUGGUUCUCCAGAUGAAGACAUCCCUAGAGCAGUAACCUUUCCUCUCCUCCCCAGCAAGCAGAGCUCACACUGUGUGCUUUGCUGGAGGUUUGAGGAGGUGAGGGCGUGGGGUGCUCAAAGACAAUGAGAAGGGCUGGAAUUGUGGGCUGGGAGUGAUGUGUUUUGGUGAACAGGUGGCAAUGGUCGCACUCUGUGCUCACCUAUUAAAUGAGCAUCCUCGUGCCUUGCUGCAGGCUGUACAUUAAGUCACCUCCAGGGAUUAAGGAUAGCCAAAUGAGACGUCCUAAUUGAUCAUUUGUACUUAAGGAGGAAAAGAACACCCAAGGAACAAGAGAAGAGGGUGUUAAAGAGGUGUUGAAGUGCUGAUGGAAGACCCCAUCCUGUGGUUAAUGUGGGCUGUGGGGUAAAACCUGACAACGCUUCCUUCUGAGCCCUUGUGGUGCUCAAAUGAACCCCCGGAGGAAGAUGGGGAUGACAGCAGAAUUGCAUCAUGCAGCGUGGAAUGGAAACAGCUGUUCCUGUCUCUAACCUUCAGUUUACGACCGCCCUCAUCCACGCAGACAGACAGACCAGGAAAACACUCACUCUGUUUAUAGCCAGAGCCUGCAACUGUUCCAGUCCAUAACAUGGAGGGUGGCUUUCAGUUUUGCUUGCUUUGGUCACAGCCUCUGGCGUAUACAAAUGUUUUAUUCAUUGACAGAUGCAUCUCAUUGCACUCAUAUUUUCUUUCCCCAUCACAUAAUAAAGUGCUUGUCCUUCUGC